rnacentral:lncRNA from 1 species
GCUAAAAGAAGAUUUUGCAGAUAACCAUUUGGAAUCCUCAUAAGACAAAAUUGACACAAAAUGCAAGUUAUUGUGCUUCAGAGCACUCUAUAGGCUAAAAGAAGAUUUUGCAGAUAAUCAUUUUGGAAUCCUCAUAAGACAAAAUUGACACAAAAUGCAACUUAUUGUACUUCAGAGCACUCUAUAGGCUAAUGUACUAUAGGUUUGAAGUUUCUGCAACCGCAUAUUAUUGUUAUAUAGUAUGGAUUUCUUAAGCAUAGCAUAAAUCCAUUUUUAAUAAUUAUCAAUUGACAGAAAAAGGAAAAACAAAGCCCUCAGAUAUCAAAAUCAUCUACGGCAUUUGCAAUGGCUUCAUUCACAACCUUCUUGCACCAUAAAUAGAUAGACUGAUAUAGAUAGCCAGUGAGAGAGAGAGAGAAGGAGAGAGAGGGACAUACAUACAUACAUACAUACAUACAUACAUACAGAGACACACACACACAUAGAGUGAGUGAGAAAGAGGGAAUGGUGCAAGUGGAGUUAUGAACAAAACCAUGUAGUCGCAUCAUUGGGCUGCAUCUAUGAAAAGUUGUUUCAUUUUCACUAUUUAAUUCAGAGUAAAAAUAUUAUUUUUUUCGAACAAGCCAAACUAACCCACCGAAAUUGGCACCGGGGAGAAUUGAAUUUGAGACCUUGAGAGGAGCACACUCCAAGGUUCCAAACCAACACCACUAGGCCAAUCCAAGUGGUUUGAGUAAAAAUCCAUGUCAUCCAUUUAAACUUCUGCAAUUUAAAAUCAAGAGAAAACGAAAAGAAUACCCAAACAAUAGGAAACAGAAAAAUAAAUUAAUAUGAAACUCUAAAUUCAAAGCGAAACUAUAUCCCAUCCAAGUUUAAUUGAAAUGAACAUGUUAAACAUAACAUCAACUCGUAAAACAAAAAAUAUGUUAACAUUGAAAGUUGUAGAGCUGUUUAAGAAGAUAUGAAAUGCAAAAGUACUUGCACAUUUAUUCUAGCCAUGAACUACAGUUCCAUUAAGAGUAAAAGUAGGUAAAUGAUAGACAAUUAUGGCACAUCAACAAACAACAACAAUCAAGUCUUUUCCCAUGGAUCAAAUUACGCCAUAAUGUUGUAAAUUAUGAAAAAUAACUUGCAAAAACAGACAAAGUAAAUUAGAAAGAUUAGGGAAUAGACAUGCAGCUAGAGUUCGUAAGAUAAGAUAUAUAAAUUAAGUGAAGAAAAGAACAAACAAACAAAAUUAUCCAAACAUAAGAUACCAAUUCCGCCCUCAGAUAUAGUUAGAUUGGUAGUUUUUCAAAGCCUCUCCUCAACAUCCAACAAGGCAAUGCACAUAAAGCAUAACCUCCACCAUCUCACCCACUGUCACUAUGAAUAAUA